GCCUCUGUAGCUCAGUUGGUUAGAGCACUGCACUGGAAUCGCAGGACACAGGUUCAAUUCCUGCCAGAUGGCC
rnacentral:tRNA from 1 species